UACAGAGGUCUCAAGCGUUGUUCGGAUUCAUUGGGCGUAAAGGGUGCGUAGGCGGCGCGGUAAGUCGGGUGUGAAAUCUCGGAGCUUAACUCCGAAACUGCAUUCGAUACUGCCGUGCUUGAGGACUGGAGAGGAGACUGGAAUUUACGGUGUAGCGGUGAAAUGCGUAGAUAUCGUAAGGAAGACCAGUGGCGAAGGCGGGUCUCUGGCCUGUAACUGACGCUGAGGCGCGAAAGCGUGGGGAGCAAACAGG
rnacentral:rRNA from 1 species